rnacentral:lncRNA from 1 species
GCUCUCCUCUUCUGCUAAGCUUUUUUUCCUAAUUAAAAUCUUCUGCCACUGCCAUAGCUACUGCUGCUGCUGGAACUGCCAUAGCCACGUUGGUUUCGUGGUUUUGCAAAGUAUUGGCCUCCACCGCCAUAAGGGCCAGAGCUUCUGCCUCCAAAAUUUCCUCCCUUCAUGGGUCCAAAAUGUGAAGACUGAUUGUUGUAACUGCCAAAAUCAUUGUAGCUUCCACCACCUCCAAAAUUGCUUCCACCAUUACCAAAUCCAUGAUAGCCAUCCCCACUGCCACCAUAUCCACCACCACCAUGGCUGCCACCAAAGCCACCAUGACCACUGAAGUUUCCUCCACGACCAAAGUUGUCAUUCCCACCGAAACUACCUCCACGACCUCCACCAACGUUUCCAGAACCACCUCGACCUCUUUGGCUGGGUGAAGCACUAGCCAUCUCUUGCUGUGACAGGGCUUUCCUAACUUCACAGUUGUGGCCAUUCACAGUUAAGUGGGCACCUGGUCUUUAAGAAUCUUCUCUCGAGACAGCUCUCUUUGGUUCCACAACUCUUCCAUCCACCCUGUGUGGCCUUGAAUUCAUAGCUGCAUCCACCUCUUCCACAGUGGCAUAUGUGACAAACCCAAAGCCCCUGGAGCGCUUGGUGUUUGGAUCUCUCAUUACUACACAGUCCGUGAGCAUUCCCCAUUGCUCAAAAUGGCUCCUCAGGCUCUCAUUGGUUGUUUCAAAGCUCAACCCUCCAAUGAAGAGCUUCCUCAGCUGUUCGGGCUCUUUAGGAGACUCUGACUUAGACAUGAAGGCAGGGUGAAGAGAGACUUUAAUGAUGCUUCUUUGGCGGCAUCCAUGUGCAGAAAA